UUGGGUCAUUGUCAUUCCCUGUUGUUUUUCUUCAUUAUUCCUCACAGUCUGCUUCUUGACGUGUUAAGUAACGUCCCCCUAUCACUCGAUUGGCCCGCGGGGCGUCAGCGUGAAAUGAUGGGAAAACAAAACUGUGAGGAGACAGGUUGAGCCAAUUAAACGAUGCAACAGCCAAGGGAUAUGCCUUUCGGUAUUGUUCUUGCCCGGGAGGGAAAAUGUCACAGCAGUGGCGCUGGUGCUGGCGCUGCUUUGGAGCGGAUCUGACACUCUGGUAAUUACUUCGCCGUAGCGCCGUCGCCGGGAAUGAGGGCAUUUCUCUGCAACAACAAUAACAUCUGUCAGAGAGCCAGGCAGUUCAGCUUCAAGUCCCUGUCCUCAUUCUGUCUCAGACCAGGUCUGAAAAUACACCCUCUUCUUCCCUGUGGAGUGCACUACUUGUGUCCCUGGUCAAAGGGAGUGCACUGUGCAGGGAAUAGGGGAUCACUUCAGAUGCAGCCUCUCACUCUCUUUUAGGAGACAUCCUGACACAUCUCCUCAUGCUUUACAUGCCAGAGUCCCCAAAGAGGAGCUACGGAUGCACAGGGAAGGCAACCUGAGCUACAGGGAAAAUAGGUUAAAAACAUCAAUACUUCUAUGGGCUUUUCUUUCCUUAUCAUGUACAGAGCUAGAGGAGCAAGUAGAGAUGGCACAUGGGGUGUGUGUGUGUGUGUGGGUCUAUCAUAGUAGUGUGUUCUUGUGUGCGCGUGUGCAUGAACCCACAGUAUAGUAACGUCAAUGACACAGAGUGGCUGGUGUGUGUGUGUGUGUGUGUAAAUGCCUGCCUGCCUGCCUGUGUGUGCCUCUCCUCCCGCAGCAGAGGGAGGUCAAAGGCCACUGACAGAGUGGUUGGAACCGAACAGCCGCAGUGGGUGGUCCGGGGGAAGAUGGCUGACCCACCUCAGGUGGUCCAACAUCAAGAGGGCUGGAGAACGAAGAGAAUAAUACAUGGAGCAGCUCCCUGGACUCUGUCUACUCUGGCUGUACAGGAAAUGGAGCAGCUCCCUGGACUCUGUCUACUCUGGCUGUACAGGUAAUGGAGCAGCUCCCUGGACUCUGUCUACUCUGGCUAUACAGGAAAUGGAGCAGCUCCCUGGACUCUGUCUACUCUGGCUGCACAGGAAAUGGAGCAGGUCCCUGGACUCUGUCUACUCUGGCUGCACAGGAAAUGGAGCAGCUCCCUGAACUCUGUCUACUCUGGCUGCACAGGUAAUGGAGCAAGACUGCAGAGUGGAGGACACAAAUGGACAUUCAAAAAUUAACCAAUGGGAAGCCAAAGAGACACCAAUCCAAUUCAAUCCAAACCCAUCUCCCUACAAGCACACAGUCCAGUGGUUACGGUGCCCAGAUGAUGAGAAUAAUGUCUUCCUCUCAUUUGCAUUUGGUAAUGAGUGCAUGGUGAUUAAAAAGUGAAAUGAAGGCUAGCUGCUCUGUUGCCAGAUAGAUAAACAUGAACGGUGUAGAGUCGAUGGAACAGAAGGCAAGAGGAAAGUGGGUUCUCCCUAGACACAGCUCAUCACUUCUUUCUAUUCUUUAAACUGUGUAUAUGAAUGGGGGAACAGACUGGGAGAUUGUGUGUGUGUGUGAAAGAGAUUGUACGUGUGGAAGCUUGUGCUUGUGUGUGUGUGUGUGCGUGCAUGUGCGUCUGUGUGUGGGUGCAUACCUGUGUGUGCAUGUUAUUGCCCCCAGAGAGAACACAGCACAAGGGAUGCUCACCUCAUUCUCCCACGUCACAUCUACGUAGGUUAUGGAUGGUUGAAUGGGUGAACAGAAAUAACAUCCGUCAGAUUCUUGCCUUGAAGUAAAGAAUUAUAAUAACAACACCACCCCCUCUGGACAAUCACUUGUAGCCCAGAGAUAGUUCAUUACUCAGUGACGAAGACAGAUCUCAGUCUUUUCCACCACAGACAUGGACGAAGUAACAAUAGAACGUAGAACGAGGAAGUUUGCUGAUGUCAGACCAGAGACCUCUUCUGUAUCCCAAAUGCCACUCUAUACGCUAUGAGUCCUGGUCAAAAGUAGCGCACUACAUAGGGAAUGGGUGCCAAUUGGGAUGCAGAACUUGACUCUAUUUGACUAGAUAAGAGUGUGUUGGAACUAAAAACAAAGAACAGAGAAGAAAACAUUCACCAAGAUGAUCCAUUGAAAGGAUUCUAUAGCUCCUCAUUCUAUAGCUCCUUUUAAAACCGAAGCUGCUUUCAUUCAAUUAUGCUUGUGUACUUGGUAGCUAGUUGAAUAGAAGUCGUGAAAGCACAAAGCUCAGAGUUAACAAACCUUUUGUUGUUUUACUCUCAUAAUUUACCUCGCUGUUUGUUGACAGUACGUUUUCUCUGUCAAAUGUGAUGCACUUCUUUCAUGCUGGAGGUUGCAGUGCAAUCAGUGACUUCAGUUCGGAGAUGCAACAAGGCUGCCCUUACUCUUAGAGGAAACGCCAAGGAUAUUCUCUGAAUGCCAGCUAUUUCGUCCCACUUUUAACAGCCACCACCUGUACUGUGGGCUACGUACUGUACGUGUGUCAAAAUAGCUGAUGAUGAAAUGGAAAUUCAUUAUGGGGAAUGUUGAAGGAUAUCACUGUACACCAACAAACAGAACAGCAGAUGUCAGUUCUUUCUAAAAGCAUCACACACACACCUGCACACACACACACACACACACACACACACACACACACACACACACACACACACACACACACACACACACACACACAGUUGCUAAAAGGAAAUUAUAAACUGGUUGGCUGACAGCCGUGGUAUAUCAGACCGUAUACCACAGGUAUGACAAAACAUGUAUUUUACUGUUCUAAUUAUGUUGGUAACCAGUUUCUAAUAGCAAUAAGGCACCUUGGGGGUUUGUGGUAUAUGGCCAAUAUACCACGGCUAAGGGCUGUAUCCAAGCACUCCGCGUUGCGUCGUGCAGGGAACAGCCCUUAGCCAUAGUAUACUGACCAUAUGUCACGCCCUGACCGUAGAGAGCUUUUUAUGUCUCUAUUUUGGUUUGGUCAGGGUGUGAUUUGGGUGGGCAUUCUAUGUUCAUUUUCUAGGUUUUGUAUUUCUUUGUGUUUGGCCGGGUGUGGUUCUCAAUCAGAGGCAGCUGUCUAUCUUUGUCUCUGAUUGAGAACCAUACUUACGUAGGUAGCUUUUUCCCACGUGGUUUUUGUGGGUAGUUGUUUUGUGUUUCUGCACCUGACAGAACUGUUCGUUGUCGUUUUGCUCUUUGUUAUUUUGUUCAAGUGUUUUUUUGAAAAUAAAUAAUGAACACUUACCACGCUG